rnacentral:rRNA from 1 species
GAUGAACGCUAGCGGCAGGCUUAGUACAUGCAAGUCGAGGGGCAUCAAGGUACACGAAAGUGUAUUGUUGGCGACCGGCGGACGGGUGAGUAAUAGGUAGGUAACCUACCUCAUACUGAGGCAUAGCUGGGAGAAAUUCCAGGUAAUUCCUCAUGAGGUUAUAUGACACAUGUGAUAUAAUCAAAGGUAUCGCAAGGUACUGGUAUGAGAUGGGCUUACUGACCAUUAGCUAGUUGGUGAGAUAAGAGCUCACCAAGGCGAAGAUGGUUAGGGGUUUGAGAGAGAGAUCCCCCACAUUGGAACUGAGAUACGGUCCAGACUCCUACGGGAGGCAGCAGUAGGGAAUAUUGGGCAAUGGGCGGAAGCCUGACCCAGCCAUGCCGCGUGAAGGAAGACGGCCUUAUGGGUUGUAAACUUCUUUACUAUGCGACUAACUAGAUUUACGAGAUAAUUCUAUAGAAUGUAGCAUAGACAAAAAGCACGGA